AGGUAGUAAUAAUUAUUCAAACCAAUUUAUUCCGGCGGCUUUUCAUCUCAUUAGAGGAACUUGUCAACUAAUCGAUAUUCCACGAUAAUUUUCACUUAUCUACAGAACUUAUAUACCGCCAUCUAAAGAAUUAAUUUUCAAAUAUAUUCUAAAUAAAAAAUAAAAAGUUAGGUCAAGGUGUAGUCCAUAAAUAAGAAUAAGAUGAGUUACAUUAAAUAUAUUUAAGAAUAAAAAAAUUAAAUAUUUUUUUUCAAAAAGGAUUUAUAAGUAAUAAAAUAACAAUAAUAUUAUUUGAAUAAGAUAUAAAAGUGU
rnacentral:rRNA from 1 species